rnacentral:lncRNA from 1 species
UGUGACUCUGUCCCUGGGAGGCAGGCAAGAGGCCACAACCUGCUCGUAUCGUUAUCUCAUGCUGCGUCACAGGCUACCCCCAGCUGAGAGGCUUGCAGCAAAAGGAACAUUGACUGCCUCCGACGGACCCUGUGGUCGGGACUCAGGAGGGGCUCAGCCGGGCGGCGCUGGCUCAGGGCCCCGCAGGAGGUUGCAGCCAGGAGUCAGCAAGGGCUGCAUCUGCCGCAGGAUCAACCGGGGCGGAGGAGCCACUUCCAAGGCGGCUCACCCGCGUGCCUGGCGGCUGGGCCGGGCUGCUGGGGGGAGGCUCAGCUCCUCACCGAGUGGCUCCUCCAGAGUACUGGCUUCCCCGGCGGGUGACCCAAGGAGAGCAAGGCAGAGCCGCAGCGUCUGUGUGAUGGAGCCUGGAAGUCGUUUCUGCCGUAUCUCGUGGUCCCAGGUGGUGUUGAUGCUGCUGUCUGGGGGACCCCACUCUGACAACCGUGGCUCUGGGGGUCGAAGAAGGUGCACCUGCCUGUCUCCCAGGACUGCAGGGGCAGUUGACCACUCGAGAGAGCAGGUGUAGGAUGGGCCUUGGGACCAGUGGGCCUCAACCUUGGCUACACGUGGAAGGAGGAGUUUGCCAGUUCUACGAACAAAACUGGGCCCCUCCCCCUGGUCUAACAGGUGAGUCUAGCAAGCAAGUGGCAAAGGCUUAAAGUCAGGACAAAAAUCUAUGCUGUGGAGCAGCCGUGCAGGCCACCCUUAGCCUGUGUUAGAAUGACCUUGCAACCCACACCUCAUGACCGAGGACGCCAGCUGGACGGAUCUGCGAGGAGAGAUAAAGGGCGCCUCGCUCUCACGUUUCCCAGCUGCAUUUCUUAGAGACUCAGGGAAUAACGGACGACCCUGGUCCUUGCCCCCCUCCACAUGUACAUAACAGCAGCACUGCUGAACUUGUUUGAACAAAAAGCUAAUGUUCUUAUUCUCUUGAAGCAGAUGACUAUUAGAUGUGUAAGCCCUUUCCUGCACGGACGCUGCUUCGUGAAAAGCUUAAACUGCAUCAGAUUGCAGACCUCGGAGCAGCUCCCCAGAACGCUCUGUUGGAGUAUUUCCUAGGUCUCAAGUUCCUCACCUUGAUUAUCAAAUAAACUCCUCU